rnacentral:snoRNA from 1 species
CCUCCUUCUCUUGGCAAAGACCAGACAUGUGGUCCUGCUCCAUAACACGUACAGAGGCAGAGAAAAGGGGCUCCAGCCAUCUUGUCAUCAUGUCUUUGAUGCCGAUAUCUUCCUAUCUACUGAUUCUAUCCUCAAGUACAAGGAACAG